rnacentral:rRNA from 1 species
AUUGAACGCUGGCGGCAUGCCUUACACAUGCAAGUCGAACGGUAACAGGUCUUCGGAUGCUGACGAGUGGCGAACGGGUGAGUAAUACAUCGGAACGUGCCCGAUCGUGGGGGAUAACGAAGCGAAAGCUUUGCUAAUACCGCAUACGAUCUACGGAUGAAAGCAGGGGACCGCAAGGCCUUGCGCGAACGGAGCGGCCGAUGGCAGAUUAGGUAGUUGGUGGGAUAAAAGCUUACCAAGCCGACGAUCUGUAGCUGGUCUGAGAGGACGACCAGCCACAGUGGUACUGAGGAACGGCCCAGACUCCUACGGGAGGCAGCAGUGGGGAAUUUUGGACAAUGGGCGAAAGCCUGAUCCAGCCAUGCCGCGUGCAGGAUGACGGCCUUCGGGUUGUAAACUGCUUUUGUACGGAACGAAAAGACUCUGGUUAAUACCUGGGGUCCAUGACGGUACCGUAAGAAUAAGCACCGGCUAACUACGUGCCAGCCGCCGCGGUAAAAC